GGGGGCGCGAGCCCCCCGCGGGAACUGUGGCGUAAGGAAGUCCGGCCCCGAGGCCGCGGCGGCGCCGAGGUCCUUCUGAUCGAGGCCCCCUCCGUCCCAGGGCGGGUGUCAGGCCCCUGCGGGCGCCGUCCGGCCGCGGACCAGGGCUUCCGGGAGUCGGGUUGUUUUGUAGCGCAGCCCAAAGGCGGGCGGUAAACUCCGCCCAAGGCUAAACACCUGCACGAGACCGAUAGAGCACAAGUACCAUGAGGGAAA
rnacentral:rRNA from 1 species